rnacentral:lncRNA from 1 species
AAAUUGUAUUUGAAGUAAAAAAAUGAAAAAAAAUUGAAGGAUAUAUAUAAAAAAAGGGGUUUGUAUUUAGCAUUCAAGUUUCCGAUUCACAACUUCUCAUUGUUAUCAUUCCUCUAUCUUCACGCCACAUUCCGAAAACCAAUAUAAUUCUUUUCAACCAACCUUUUAGCACAACAUUAAUUCCCUUGAAACCCUUUAAAGCCA